UACGUAGGGCGCAAGCGUUGUCCGGAUUUAUUGGGCGUAAAGAGCGUGUAGGCGGCCAGACAGGUCCGUUGUGAAAACUAGAGGCUUAACCUCUAGACGUCGAUGGAAACCGUCUGGCUAGAGUCCGGAAGAGGAGAAUGGAAUUCCUGGUGUAGCGGUGAAAUGCGCAGAUAUCAGGAAGAACACCCGUGGCUAAGGCGGUUCUCUAGUACGGUACUGACGCUGAGACGCGAAAGCGUGGGGAGCGAACAGG
rnacentral:rRNA from 1 species